CAGUAGCCGCGGUAAUGCGAAGGUGGCAAGCGUUGUCCGGAAUUAUUGGGCGUAAAGGGCUCGCAGGCGGUUUCUUAAGUCUGAUGUGAAAGCCCCCGGCUCAACCGGGGAGGGUCAUUGGAAACUGGGAAACUUGAGUGCAGAAGAGGAGAGUGGAAUUCCACGUGUAGCGGUGAAAUGCGUAGAGAUGUGGAGGAACACCAGUGGCGAAGGCGACUCUCUGGUCUGUAACUGACGCUGAGGAGCGAAAGCGUGGGGAGCGAACAGGAUUAGAUACCCCCGUAGUCCCUGUCUCUUAUAC
rnacentral:rRNA from 1 species